CUCAAUUUUGAGAGAAUACUUUUGUUGAGAAGCUUUAGAGAGAGAGAGAGAGAAGUUGUGUUGGAAGCUUAACUCUAGAAAGAGGGAGGUCAAAAAUUGAAAACCAAUGAACGAACCUUAAUCUUUGUCAAGAGACGUAAACGUAAGAGCACUAGGAGCAUCCUCUCGUUCUAGUUUCUCUCUCUAGUUUUCUCUACUAGGGUUGUUAUUUGGGGCUACUAUUUGGUGCUGCUGUUUGGGAGGGGGCCUCCGGCCUCUCUCCGGUCGCCUCUCUCCUCUUUCCAAUUUUUUUCUUUUACAUUUUGCAAAAUAACUCUUGGGAGAUUAUUCUUCCCACUCUCUCCCUCCUUGUGAGGUGCUUAUCCCCCUAGGGUGGAAAUUUGUUUUUGCGUUUUCUCCCCCUUCACUUCCCAACCGGAUUUAGAUCUGCCACUUCUCCACCGCCUUUCACCGUUUCAUGCCGCCACAACCACAACACCAACGGAUCUACCGCCCAUCGCCUAUAUUCUCGCUACCGACACAACCACCAAGACGUCGUGGCCAUCCUUCCACCAGAUCUGAUAUUUCUUCCCCAGAUCUUUUUUUUGGUUUGUUUCUUUUUGAGUUUUUUUCAACUUUUAUUCUGUGUUUCAGUUUGUUUGGGCUUGAUGGGUGUGAUUUUGGUAGCUUACCCUCUCUAGAGUGAAGCUUUUGUGGUAUCUCCGACUAGUCCUAGUGCUGAUCUCUUAUGAUCACUUCUGCUUUGCAAUACGGGUUAGGAUCGUGUAUGAUCAUAUUUUUGAUACUAUUUUAACUUUGCUUAUGUGUCUCUUUGCUCAUUUUUCCUUUGCUAGGGUAAGCUCUAUUUGUGUAAGCAUGGACUCUCUUGUAAGUGCCGUUUUGGCUUAUCAUUAAUGGAUUUUUCUCCCAUUUAAAAAAAAAAAAAAAAAUCUUUGUCAAGAGACUCAACAAAUUGAGGAUUUUUGGUAAAAAAAAGUUUAAGCUUAAAUUCUUGUAGAUUAAGCAUCUAGCAACUAAAAUUACGUAGUAAUUGGGUUUAAUUUCAUGAAAUUAGAGGGAAAUUAGAGAAGUAAUGAAGGAAAAUUGGGUUAAGAUUUAUAAUUAAUAAAUUGAUAAUGUAAUGUGUUAUUGGGUUAGAUUUUAUUGUCAUCCUUCAUAAUUUGAAGUCUAACCUUACAUGCAUUGUAAAUUUUCAAGAUUUUAGACUUUAAUUCAUGUUUUAAAGGUUUAUGAGUUUAAAUUAGGUUUGAUAUGAAGAAAAUUAAUAAAAAUCUAAAUUAGAGCAAUUUAAGAAGUAAAUUAUGAUUUGAAAAUAUAAAAUUAGUUAGUUUUGAUCUUAAUUUCAUACAUGCAAAUAAUUUUCUAAGAAGCUUCUAAUUUUAAUUUCAUGUUUUGAAGGAAGAUAGAAAAGAGUUUAAAGUCAAUUUUAUGUAAACAAAAAGAAAUUGAUAAGAAAAUGAAGAAUUAGAGCUAAUUUCAAGUUUAUGAAAGUUCAUUUAGAAAUUAAUUAUUUUGAGUUUGAUUUUGAAAGUUAUAGUUAAAUUAAGCUUCAUAAAUUACAUGCAAUUUCAUUGUACAUUUGAUUUUGAAUUUUUUUUUUUAGAAACCAUGAGUUCAUGGGUUUUGAUUUUGAAAUUAAGCAAGAUUUUGAUUUAAGUAAAUCAAUUAAUAUUUAUGUUUCAUGAUGUUGAGUUUGGAUUUUAAAGAGUUAUUCUAUGGAGCUUUUUGUACUGAAUUUUAUUUCAGAAAUUCAUGAGUCUCAUGUUUAAUUCCAUGAUUAUUCUUCAAAAGGAAAAGAAGUUUGAAAAUAUUUAAAUGCAUGGAGUUUGAUUUAAGUCUUGACAACUUGAUGAGAUUUUGAGCAAAUGAUUUAUAAAUAAAAAAGUGUUUAUGUUUUGUGAAGUAUUUUCAAGGUUUUGAUCAAGAUGUGUGGGUUUAAAGAUUGAAAAAUGCAUUUAGAAACCAUUGUUGAGAAAUUCAGAAUUCUAGAAUUUUACAGACCACUCGAGCGGGCUAAUUACCUUUCGAGCGCACAUUGAAGGCUUCCCGUACUUUUGCAGCAUUUUACAGACCGCUUGAGUGACUAAAGGUCACGCACUAACAUCUGCCUAAUCUAUCUAAUCUGUUGAUCUACUUCUGGAGCUAUUUGUGAUUAGGCGCUUGACCAGGCCUAAAGCUUCUGCUUGGAAGCUUUCUCUGUCAGCCAACCUAUGUACCUUCCAUGGAAGUUCCGGAUACGUCAAGUGGUCAAGGCUAUGUGAUUAAAGUUUAAGUUUUUGUUUAUUUUGUAAUUAGGGCUGAGUCCCUUUUUGUCUAAUUUGUAUAUAUACGUAAGGAUGAUGUGUGUAUAUAUAUGUAUGUAAAGUUUAAAAUUUUUCUGUCUCAUAUAUGUCAGCACAGUUCAAUAGACAUUAUAUAUUUAUUAUUUGCUUCCACUAG